rnacentral:rRNA from 1 species
CCUACGGGAGGCUGCAGUGGGGAAUCUUGCGCAAUGGGCGAAAGCCUGACGCAGCGACGCCGCGUGAGGGAUGAAGGUCUUCGGAUCGUAAACCUCUGUUAGCAGGGAAGAACGUUCACUGUGCUAAUUAUCAGUGAAUUGACGGUACCUGCAAAGGAAGCACCGGCUAACUCCGUGCCAGCAGCCGCGGUAAUACGGAGGGGGCGAGCGUUAACCGGAAUUACUGGGCGUAAAGCGCUCGUAGGCGGUUUUUUAAGUCAAGGGUGAAAGCCCACGGGUCAACGGUGGAGGGUCAUUGGAAACGGUAAAACGGGAGUGCAGAAGAGGAAAGGGGAAUUCAAUGGGGAGCGGGG